GACAGUUCUUGGGUGACGCACCCUGGAAUUGGGCUCCCUCCUCUCUGGUUCUGGGUGCAUCACCCAAGAGCUGCA
rfam:Myotis davidii contig75017, whole genome shotgun sequence.